GGGCGGUGUCUGGACGGACGCGUGGUCUGGGGGCUGACGGGAUGAGAGGACGGGCUGGCUGUUGGGAGCAUGAACAGGCGCCGUGGAGGGGCGUGAGACAGGCUCCGCAUCUCACGUGGGGUUCCCCUUAAACUCAGCUGUCCGGAGACACUGGUCUCCGUGACGAAGGGGCUUUCCUGCCACGUGGCGGGACCACCACCAGCUACCACUGCCCCCCGUCAGGGUGAGCGCGUGGGUGCCCCGCUCUGUGCUCGGGAGAGCAGCCGCAGCCGGGCGCGUGGGCAGGCCACGCAGAAGUGACCGCCUACAGUGACAGUCCCCCGGGACGCCCUCACGUGUCGCCGAAACCUGCCUCGGCUAGGCCUCCCCGGCGUGGGGCUCGCCCGUGAUGGGGAGGGACACACCAGGAGGACAGAGGACUUGACCUUUAACACAAGGACCCGUGGUCCCGGCUCUGGCUCCCCUCUCCGUCGGUGACCACGGCUGCCCGAUGGACGACUUGGGGACGUGCGGGGCGGACAGCUGAGCGGGUGGGCUGGCGGCAGCGCCAGGCAGAGCACGCCCGUCCUGUGCUGGGGCUUUCCUCACCGGCUCCUCACUCCGCGUGUCUGUCUCAGGGUCCCUGUGCCCCCAGUCGCUCUUUCUGCGCCUCUCCCCCCUCUUGCACCCCUGAUUCCAGCGAGGGCAAGCCCCCUGUGCAGCCCUGCCAAUGGGGAGAUGGAGGUCAAGGGAACGCGUGUGCAAGCGGACGGACCCAAAGCCCCAUCUGUCAGGACCGGACCCAGAUGUGCAGCUGCCGCAACCUCACCUGGCCGUACCUGGUCUCACCUGGCCACACCUCCCUCCUCCCCCCAUAAAUGGCUCUGCUCACAACCCCUCCACUCGUGUUGUGUCUGUCUGCAGAGGGCUGGUGCUGGGCAGCGGGGGUGGGGUGCCGGG